rnacentral:rRNA from 1 species
UACGGGAGGCACCAGGGGGAAUAUUGCACAAUGGGCGCAAGCCUGAUGCAGCCAUGCCGCGUGUAUGAAGAAGGCCUUCGGGUUGUAAAGUACUUUCAGUCGUGAGGAAGGUGUUAAGGUUAAUAACCUUAGCAAUUGACGUUAGCGACAGAAGAAGCACCGGCUAACUCCGUGCCAGCAGCCGCGGUAAUACGGAGGGUGCGAGCGUUAAUCGGAAUUACUGGGCGUAAAGGGCACGCAGGCGGUUAAUUAAGUUGGAUGUGAAAUCCCCGGGCUUAACCUGGGAAUGGCAUUCAAGACUGGUUAGCUAGAGUCUUGUAGAGGGGGUAGAAUUCCAUGUGUAGCGGUGAAAUGCGUAGAGAUGUGGAGGAAUACCGGUGGCGAAGGCGGCCCCUGGACAAAGACUGACGCUCAUGUGCGAAAGCGUGGGGAGCAAACAGGGAUUAGAUACCCGU